AAGAGAAGGGGAAUGGUUAGUGAUGACAGCAUAGGACACAGAAAGUUCCUUCUCUCUCUUUUGAAUCCUAGGAAUUGCCUCAGGGAAGAGGCCAGUCCCUGAAAAAGCCAUCUCGAUUGGUAUCAUUCAAAUGCGAAUAUAGGCCUGAUUGAAGCAUAAAAGUGAAAUAAUAAUAAUGAGAGGCUUUUGUCCGUUGACGGUCAUCUUACCUGUCUCCUACGCUACGCUCUCAACUGGAUC
rnacentral:lncRNA from 1 species